UCCCCCCUCUCUCUAUAUCUCCUCCCUCACUCGAUCCUGUGGCUAAAAAUCCUCGAACCCUCCUUCCCUCUCCCUCCACCCCCCUCCCCCCGACCAUCUUCUUGAGGUCACGAGGCGGAGAGCUCGAGAACCCGUUCUCGUCCGCCCCAUAUCCCUUCGAUAUUUUCCUCCGCUGCCUCCGCCGCCUCCGCCGGCGUCAUCGCCAUGUCCGCCCUGCAGGCCUCCCUCUUCCUCCGGCCCUCGCUGUUGCCACCCAUAUUCCGGCCUCCUAAACGCUCCUCCAUUCUUCUUUCUGGCGCCAUCCGCCGCCCCGACGUCUCCGGCGGGUCUCUUCUUCUCUCCCCUCCCCAAAUCCCUCUCCCACCGCCGCCUCGCCCCCGUUCCCCGCGCAUUGCCGCAGGAGAACACGGAUUCGGCGCGGGAACCCUUUUUGUCUGGCCAAGAAUCGAUCUUGGACUCAGAUUACCCCCAAGGCUCCGACCUUUUGCAAGAAACCGGCGAGGAGGCGUCGAGAGGGGAGCCCGAGGCUGUCUUGGAGGUUGGGGCGGUCGGAGAUAGGCAAGAACUGGAAUUUGGUCGUCAGGUGGUGGAGAAGAAGGAGACGAGGAAUAGAUUACCGCUGGUGGCGUUCUUGCUUGGGGUGAUGGCUUCGUUGAGGAGGGUUUUCGAUGCUGUGAUGAUGUCGGAGUGGCUGAGCUGGUGGCCGUUUCGGGCAGCAGGAGAAGAGGUUGGAACGCCUCAUUGCGGAAGCUGAUGCAAACCCUAGAGAUGCCGCGAAGCAGAACGCUCUCCUUGCCGAACUCAAUAGGCACAGUCCUGAAUCAGUCAUCAGACGUUUUGAGCAAAGGAAUCAUGCAGUAGAUAGUAAAGGAGUUGCAGAAUAUCUUCGAGCUCUUGUUGUCACCAAUGCUCUCGCAGAAUAUCUUCCAGAUGAGCAAUCUGGAAAGCCUUCCAGUCUCCCAACACUGCUGCAAGAGUUGAAGCAACGCGCAUCUGGAAAUCAGGAUGAGCCAUUUUGAACCCUGGAAUAUCGGAGAAACAU